GGACAUGAAGACCUCCAGAAAACUGGCAGCGAAAUCGCCAUUUCUCUGGCAAGCUCAACACCGCACAAAAACCCAAAACAACAAAACAAAAAGGAAACAAAACGAAACAAAACUAAACAGAAAGAAAGGAAAACAAAACAAAGAAAAACAAUUGGGUUACCUCCCAACAAGUGCUUAAUUUAACGUCUAGAGCUCGACGAUACCUCAAACUCAUGGGUCAUUGAAUUUGACAACUUCAAGACCACGAUCCACGUUUGACUUGAAGUAUGGUUUGAGACGAUGACCAUUGACAGUGAAGAUAGUGCCAUCAGCGGCAAACAACUCAUACGUCCC
rnacentral:lncRNA from 1 species